AACGAACGCUGGCGGCAGGCCUAACACAUGCAAGUCGAGCGAGACCUUCGGGUCUAGCGGCGGACGGGUUAGUAACGCGUGGGAACGUACCCUUUUCUGCAGGAUAGCCACUGGAAACGGUGAGUAAUACUGCAUACGCCCUUUGGGGGAAAGAUUUAUCGGAGAAGGAUCGGCCCGCGUUAGAUUAGAUAGUUGGUGGGGUAAUGGCCUACCAGGUCUACGAUCUAUAGCUGGUUUGAGAGGAUGAUCAGCAACACUGGGACUGAGACACGGCCCAGACUCCUACGGGAGGCAGCAGUGGGGAAUCUUAGACAAUGGGCGCAAGCCUGAUCUAGCCAUGCCGCGUGAGUGAUGAA
rnacentral:rRNA from 1 species